GGAUGUGAGGGCAACCUGGCUGUGACAUCUGUCACCUCAUUAACCACCAGGAUUGAUUCAGAUGAACCUGCUGGGUAAGUGGGUGUCCCUUUCCUCCUUACAAAUAUGUGUGUGUUUCUUCUGAAGCUGCAUGCACCCAGUAAAGAGGAAAAUCUUCCUAACUAGAAGGGGAUUGUUCAUUGGCCAGGGUUAUUUGAGCAGCUACAUGUCAUGACCACAUAAAUGAUCACACAAGAUAUGGAUUGACAGUACAUGCUGCAAGAGGUGAGGCUAACCAUAGGUGCAGGAUAGCCCUAAGCACUUCU
ensembl:misc_RNA 7SK 7SK RNA